rnacentral:tRNA from 1 species
GGGCUAUUAGCUCAGUUGGUAGAGCGCGCCCCUGAUAAUCGCGGGGCGAGGUCUCUGGUUCAAGUCCAGGAUGGCCCA